GUGCUCAUUUCGGCAGCAUAUACACUAAAAUUGGAAUGAUACGGAGAAGAGUAACAUGGCCCUGUAAAAGGAUGGCAUGCAAAUUUGUGAACCUUUCCAUAUUUUU